GAUGAAGAACUCAGCGAAAUGCGAUAAGUAAUGUGAAUUGCAGAAUUCAGUGAAUCAUCGAGUCUUUGAACGCACAUUGCGCCCCCUGGUAUUCCGGGGGGCAUGCCUGUCCGAGCGUCAUUGCUGCCCUCAAGCACGGCUUGUGUGUUGGGCCUCCGUCCUCCUCCCGGGGGACGGGCCCGAAAGGCAGCGGCGGCACCGCGUCCGGUCCUCGAGCGUAUGGGGCUUCGUCACCCGCUCUUGUAGGCCCGGCCGGCGCUUGCCGACACAUCAAUCUUUUUUCCAGGUUGACCUCGGAUCAGGUAGGGAUACCCGCUGAACUUAAGCAUAUCAAUAAGCGGAGGA
rnacentral:misc_RNA from 1 species